rnacentral:rRNA from 1 species
UACAGAGGGGGCAAGCGUUGUUCGGAAUUACUGGGCGUAAAGGGCGCGUAGGCGGCCUGUUAAGUCGAACGUGAAAUCCCCGGGCUCAACCCGGGAACUGCGUCCGAUACUGGCAGGCUCGAAUCCGGGAGAGGGAUGCGGAAUUCCAGGUGUAGCGGUGAAAUGCGUAGAUAUCUGGAGGAACACCGGUGGCGAAGGCGGCAUCCUGGACCGACACUGACGCUGAGGCGCGAAAGCUAGGGUAGCAAACAGG